UACGGAGGGUGCGAGCGUUGUCCGGAAUCAUUGGGCGUAAAGGGCUCGUAGGCGGUCCAUCGCGUCGGGAGUGAAAAGCUGGGGCUUAACCCCAGUCCUGCUUCCGAUACGGGUGGACUAGAGGUAGGUAGGGGAGAACGGAAUUCCUGGUGUAGCGGUGAAAUGCGCAGAUAUCAGGAGGAACACCGGUGGCGAAGGCGGUUCUCUGGGCCUUACCUGACGCUGAGGAGCGAAAGCAUGGGGAGCAAACAGG
rnacentral:rRNA from 1 species